rnacentral:tRNA from 1 species
AAAUGGAAAGCAAAAAAAUUUGCUUUUAGUUUCGACCUAAAUAUUAGGUGCUGGCCCACCUCCAUUUU